rnacentral:rRNA from 1 species
ACCUCUAGCAUAAAAAGUAUUAGAGGCACUGCCUGCCCAGUGACUUACGUUCAACGGCCGCGGUACUCUGACCGUGCAAAGGUAGCAUAAUCAUUUGUUCUCUAAUUAAGGACUCGCAUGAAUGGCCAAACGAGGGUUUUACUGUCUCUUACUUUCAAUCCAUGAAAUUGACCUUCCCGUGAAGAGGCGGGAAUAAUAUAAUAAGACGAGAAGACCCUAUGGAGCUUCAAUCUAAAACCCAAUUCCUAAAACAAACUACCCCAAGUAGCCAACCACAAAGUUUUUCUGAGUUAAAGAUUUCGGUUGGGGUGACCUCGGAGUACAAAACAACCUCCGAAUGAUUUAGGCCCAGACUAACUAGUCAAAGCAACAACAAUCAUAAAUUGACCCAUAAUUUGAUCAACGAACCAAGUUACCCUAGGGAUAACAGCGCAAUCCUAUUCUAGAGUCCCUAUCGACAAUUAGGGUUUACGACCUCGAUGUUGGAUCAGGACAUCCAAAUGGUGCAGCAGCUAUUAAU